rnacentral:tRNA from 2 species
GGGCUCGUAGCUCAGCUGGUUAGAGCGCACGCCUGAUAAGCGUGAGGUCGGAAGUUCAAGUCUUCCCGGGCCCA